rnacentral:lncRNA from 1 species
CUUUUCUCUGGCUCCUCUCUCUUUUGCUUUUUUCCUUUUGACUAGUCAAAGAAAAUCCCUCUUCUUAUCUCUUCUUUCUCUCUUCUUCUCUCUCCUCUCUCUUCUCCCCCAUUCUUCCUCGUGACCGACUCCUUCUCUCUCUUUUCUCUCCUGUUCGUGCAAACCAAAGCCGAGGAAGAACAGAAGCAGCAACGCCGAGAGAAGAGAAAGAUCGAAGGAGCUUGCCGUCGCUGCUCCGUUGCCACCCACCGCUCGCUGCCGUCCCGCCCGCCUUCGCCUCUCCUUCGCCCUCCUCGGCCACCAUCGACGCCCCCCUCUCUCUCUCGGUACUCUCUCUCUCCUCUGGUUCGAACGAGCCAGCAAGACAGAAGAAGCAGCUCGCCGCGCCCGCCGCUCGCCAUCGUCCCGCCGUCCGCCGCUGCCGCUCCUCCCUCCGCGCGAAUCAGCCCUGUUUCGCCCCUGUUCCGCACCGACCAGCCACCGUCCGGCCACCUCCGGCCACCGCCUAGCACCGCCGGACCUCCCCCGCAACCCCCUCGCCCUCCGCCGGCUUCCCCUCGCCGCCCUAGCCGCCGGAGCAGCCCAGAUCGGCUCCGUCCAGCAGACCCACGGAGUGGGUUUCAGCGACUUCGGGCCCGCUUUUGGGCCGUUUCCCGGCCCCGAACCCGAGCCGUGCUUUGGGAACAAUCGUUCCUCGCGUCGCCACCGUCGGAUUGAUCCGAUUUGCGUGCGAUUUGGUGAGUAAUCUCACUAAUCCUGGAUUAGUUGGCUAAUUAUGCUGGUUUAGAUUUAAUUAAUUAUGUUUAGGUUGUUAGAUUAGAAUAAAUUAGCAAUUAUUAGUCAAUUGUGAUGCGAUUUAGAUAAAUUGAUUGCGCAAUUAACAAGUAGACGUGGUCUACUAAUUAUUGGAAGUGCCUCGGGAUUUUUCCCGACGGCUCCAAUUAGGCUUUUCGAGCCUAAGUGGAUUUUUUAGUAUUUAAAUAUUAAUUUUCGGAAUUAAAUUAAAUAAUUAUUUAUUUUCCGAAAAUUCAGCUGAGAUGGCCCGUGACCGGAAAAUUAUGCUGAUGACUGUGAUGAAGUCCGUUUAUUUCGGGCUUUAUUUUGAGCUAAAUUGAAUUUUUAAUAUUAAUUAUUUAAGUUUCGAAAUUAAUUAUUUAAUUAAUUAUUUUUCAGAAAUUAAGAUGUUGAUGGUCGACGACCGAAAUCUCGUGCUGAUCAUCGUGGCGCAGUCCGUUUAUUUAUUUGAGCUCUACGUUGUAUGGAAUUGAAUAAAUUAUGAUAUUUUAGGGAUUUACCCUAAAUUGAUUGGAAUCGAUUGAGAUUGAAUUAUUGAUUGGUAAUUGGCCAAGUAUGUUAUUCAGCAUUUAUAAUGCUUUGUUGAGUUGAUUUAAUUAUUUGAUUGAGAAAUCGUUGGGCAUUGGUUGUCGGUAUUGAAAGUAAAUUGGUAACCACUGCAAAGAGGACACGUGGCUCGGUGAAUUGGAAUGUCACCUGGAGAAUGCACGUGAGUUCAGUGGUUGAAUAUGUCACCUUGGCGAAAAGGUCGCUUGAGAGAAUGCACGUGGCUCGGAGACUCGGUAUGUCUUCCUAGAGAAUGCACGUGGCUCGGUGACAGAGUUUGGCAUCUAAAAGGGCACGUGGCUCGGUGAUCUGAUGCGUCACUUUGGUAAGCGAGUACCUUAGAGAAUGCACGUGGGCCCAGGCAUCUAAAAGGACACGUGGCUCGGUGAUCUGAUGCGUCACUUUGGUAAGCGAGUACCUUAGAGAAUGCACGUGGGUCCAGUAUUUGGAAUGGCAUCUAAAAGGGCACGUGGCUCGGUGAUCUGAUGCGUCACUUUGGUAAGCGAGUACCUUAGAGAAUGCACGUGGGCCCGGGCAUCGUAAAAAGGACACGUGGCUCGGUGACUUGAUGUAUCACUUUGGCGAAGAGGUCGCCUGAGAGAAUGCACGUGGGCCCGAGGUUCAAGGCACGUGGACUCGGAGACUUGGAAUGUCGUCCUAGAGAAUGCACGUGGCCUCGCUUUUAGAUACUCCUCCGUGGAGAAUGAUUUGUAUGACAUGUAAUCGACUGGUUCGAUUUGUUUUGAGUAAAUGGGUGCCUAUGUUAAAUUGUACUGACUUGCAGGUGGGAUCAGAGGCUAAGGUAAGUCCUCUGCCCUGUGCGUGUUUAGGCAGCCUUUAGUAUAAUGGUUUAUCUAAUCGGGCUUAGUGGGGUAGAACUCGCUGAGACGUAGUCUCAUCCCAGUUUGGGGAAACCAUUUCAGGACCCCGCUGAAGAGCUGAGGAGGAGGAAUCCGAGAAGGAGAACUCGGAGGUGAGAUAUGAAGAAAAGGAUUUUUGGAAGAAGAAGACAAUACUCUCAGCCUUGAGUACGGCCUAGUUCAUCUAAGUUUCUGUCUUCUUUUGAGAUCUCCGUUUUGAUGUGAAUAGUUAUGAAAGGGUCUGUGGUUUGUAUAAAAGUUUGGUUAUAAAUUUCAAUAUGAAAAAUAUGGCUCUGCUUUUCUAUCCCAUCGUUUUAUUAUCUGGGGAUUUUAACUGCUUCCGCAUGUGCUUAAAAAUGAAAGGGUCGGCGAUACAUUGUCCUGGGAUAUGGCAUUAUAAAAUCGAC